rnacentral:tRNA from 1 species
UGCAUAUUAGUGUAAGAUGAACAUAAAGUUUUGAUCUUUAUAGAUAUGGUUUGAUUCCAUAAUUUGCAA